GUGGUUCCUUUCCCUAUGUUUCUCCGAGCGCCGCAUGACCGCUCUGGAACAUCUUCCUCACGUCGUCUCUAUGCUUCCUGGUCCUCCGGGCCGCUCCGUGGCUCUGGAAGCGAAACCGGAAGUCUCUAUGGUGCAGGCCGCGUUGAUGCGGCUCCUCCCGGCCGGCAGGCGGCGCUGCAGCCCCCACCCCGUCGCCGCUCUGGCCCCGCCGCCGCCUCCUCGCUGGCUUCCUCAUCCGGGUCCCCGCGGUGGGAGGCGGGAGCGCGAUGGCGGCGGAAGGAGCGGAGGGAGCGGCGGCCGCGGGCGGGAACGGGAGCGGGAGCGGGAACGGGGGCGGCAGCGCCGACCCCCCCGCCCCCCUGUCCGAGCCGCCCCCCCCCACCCCCCUCCCCUCCCCGCCCCCCCCAGCCGAACCCGCCGCCCCCCAACCCCCCCAGAGCUGCAACGGCGCCGCCGCCCCCCCCCCCGAGGAGCCGCCCCCCCAGGAGCCGCCGCAGGAGCCGCCCCAGGACCCCCCCCCCCAGGAGCCGCCCCCCCCAGGAGCCGCCCCCCCAGGACCCCCCCCAGGACCCCCCCCAGGACCCCCCCCAGGACCCCCCCCAGGAGGCGCCGCUGCCCCCCGAGCUGGAGAAGCUGUGGCAGGCGGCGCAGAGCAACCCCCACGACUUCGGCGCCUGGACCGAGCUGCUGGCGCUCGUGGAGCAGGAGAACCAGCUGGGCGCCGCCCGCCGCGCCUUCGACGGCUUCUUCGCGCACUACCCGUACUGCUACGGCUACUGGAAGAAAUACGCCGACAUGGAGCGGCGCCUGGGGGGCGACCAGCGCGCGCAGGAGGUGUUUGAGCGCGGUCUCCAGUCCAUCCCCGCUCAGCAUGGACCUGUGGAUCCACUACAUCUCCUUCUGCAGAGCUCGCUGGACAUGAGCCGCCCCGAGGCCGCGCCGCGGAUACGGGGGGUGUUCGAGGCGGCGGUGGCGGCGGCCGGGCUGGAUUUCCGCUCGGACAAGCUGUGGGAGCUGUACGUGGAGUGGGAGCGCGAGCAGGGCGAGCUGCGCGCCGUCACCGCCAUCUACGACCGCGUGCUGUCCAUCCCCACGCAGCUCUACAGCCAGCACUGGGAGCGGUUCAAGGAGCACGUCCUCCAGCACCCGCCCCGGGACAUCCUGUCCCCCGAGGAGCUGCUCUGGGUCCGCUCCAAGCUUUCCGCGGAGCCGCCGAAGGCGCCGGAGCCGCCGGAGCCGCCAAGGCGCCGGAGCCGCCCCCCGAGGAGCCGCCGCAGCCCGGGGGGGGCGCCCAGGAAGAUCCGGAGCCGGAGCAGGAGCGGAUCCGGGAGCUGGUGAUCUCCAUGCGGCAGCAGAUCCACGCGCACAACGAGGCCGAGGUCGGCAAGCGGCUGGAGCUUCGAGGACGGGAUCAAGCGCCCCCUAUUUCCACGUGAAGCCGCUGGAGCGGGCGCAGCUGCGGGAACUGGCGCGAGUACCUGGACUGGGAGCUGAGCGGCGGCAACCACGACCGCUGCAUCGUGCUGUUCGAGCGCUGCGUCAUCGCCU